GAUGAACGCUAGCGACAGGUUUAACACAUGCAAGUCGAGGGGCAGCGAGGGCGUAGCAAUACGCCUUUCGGCGACCGGCGCAAUGGUGAGUAACACGUAUGCGACCUGCCCCCUACAGGGGUAUAACCCGUAGAAAUGCGGACUAAUCCCCCAUAGUCCUGGGUGCUGGCAUGGCAUUCAGGGGAAAGGCCAGCCGGUAGGGGAUGGGCAUGCGGCGCAUUAGCUAGUUGGCGGGGCAACGGCCCACCAAGGCGACGAUGCGUAGGGGUUCUGAGAGGAAGGUCCCCCACACUGGUACUGAGACACGGACCAGACUCCUACGGGAGGCAGCAGUGAGGAAUAUUGGUCAAUGGGCGCAGGCCUGAACCAGCCAAGUCGCGUGAGGGAGGACGGUCCUACGGAUUGUAAACCUCUUUUGUCGGGGAGUAACGUGCGGGACGGGUCCCGUAUUGAGAUACCCGAAGAAAAAGCAUCGGC
rnacentral:rRNA from 1 species